rnacentral:lncRNA from 1 species
UACGUACAGCUAUUGUCUGAUCUCAAGACGGAGGCCCCACUCGAACUUCCUUACCUUUCUACCUUCAUCCAUCAUGCUAUUGGGAGAAUACCGACCCAACUCUAGAAACUUUCAAGCAUACUUUGACAUUGUUAUAUCACCCUAUAUCAGGUAUGCAAACUCCAUCUCUUUCAUGUGCCGAAUAUCCUCUGUGAGGUACUCUACAUUGAAGACUAUCAGGAAUUAUUCUCAAGUGAUUGAAACGGGUAGGGUGGCCUGCUUGAGCUAU